GGGAAAUGGGAUGAGGGGCCCAGCCCCAGGGCCCAAAACAAAAAAUACUUGGGGCA
rfam:Sarcophilus harrisii ctg7180002195161, whole genome shotgun sequence.